rnacentral:rRNA from 1 species
UACGGGGGGGGUAAGCGUUGUUCGGAAUUACUGGGCGUAAAGGGCUCGUAGGCGGCCAACUAAGUCGGACGUGAAAUCCCUCAGCUUAACUGGGGAACUGCGUCCGAUACUGGAUGGCUUGAAUUCGGGAGAGGGAUGUGGAAUUCCAGGUGUAGCGGUGAAAUGCGUAGAGAUGUGGAGGAACACCGAUGGCGAAGGCAGCCCCCUGGGCUAACACUGACGCUCAGGCACGAAAGCGUGGGGAGCAAACAGG